rnacentral:rRNA from 1 species
AAACGCGAAGGAACCUUACCUAAGCUUGACAUCCCAUUGACCUCUCCGUAAUCGGAGAUUUCCCUUGGGGGACAGUGGUGACAGGUGGUGCAUGGUUGUUGUCAGCUCGUGUCGUGAGAUGUUGGGUUAAGUCCCGCAACGAGCGCACCCCUUGCCUUUAGUUGCCAGCAUUAAGUUGGGCACUAUAGAGGGACUGCCGAGGAUAACUCGGAGGAAGGUGGGGAGGACGUCAAAUCAUCAUGCCCCUUAUGCUUAGGGCUACACACGUGCUACAAUGGGUGGUACAGAGGGUUGCCAAGCCGUGAGGUGGAGCUAAUCCCUUAAAGCCAUUCUCAGUUCGGAUUGUAGGCUGAAACUCGCCUACAUGAAGUCUGGAGUUACUAGUAAUCGCAGAUCAGAAG